GAUGAACGCUGGCGGCGUGCCUAAUACAUGCAAGUCGAGCGAACAGACGAGGAGCUUGCUCCUCUGACGUUAGCGGCGGACGGGUGAGUAACACGUGGAUAACCUACCUAUAAGACUGGGAUAACUUCAGGAAACCGGAGCUAAUACCGGAUAACAUGUUGAACCGCAUGGUUCAACAGUGAAAGACGGUCUUGCUGUCACUUAUAGAUGGAUCCGCGCCGCAUUAGCUAGUUGGUAAGGUAACGGCUUACCAAGGCAACGAUGCGUAGCCGACCUGAGAGGGUGAUCGGCCACACUGGAACUGAGACACGGUCCAGACUCCUACGGGAGGCAGCAGUAGGGAAUCUUCCGCAAUGGGCGAAAGCCUGACGGAGCAACGCCGCGUGAGUGAAGAAGGUCUUCGGAUCGUAAAACUCUGUUAUUAGGGAAGAACAAAUGUGUAAGUAACUAUGCACGUCUUGACGGUACCUAAUCAGAAAGCCACGGCUAACUACGU
rnacentral:rRNA from 1 species